UACGGAGGGUGCGAGCGUUGUCCGGAAUCAUUGGGCGUAAAGGGCGCGUAGGUGGCCCGGUCAGUCCGUGGUGAAAGCGCGGGGCUCAACCCCGCGUCGGCCAUGGAUACUGCUGGGCUGGAGCACUGUAGAGGCAGGCGGAAUUCCGGGUGUAGCGGUGGAAUGCGUAGGGAUCCGGAAGAACACCGGUGGCGAAGGCGGCCUGCUGGGCAGUUGCUGACACUGAGGCGCGACAGCGUGGGGAGCAAACAGG
rnacentral:rRNA from 1 species